rnacentral:rRNA from 1 species
UACGGGGGGGGCAAGCGUUGUUCGGAAUUACUGGGCGUAAAGGGCUCGUAGGCGGCCAACUAAGUCCGACGUGAAAUCCCCAGGCUUAACCUGGGAACUGCGUCGGAUACUGGUUGGCUUGAAUCCGGGAGAGGGAUGCGGAAUUCCAGGUGUAGCGGUGAAAUGCGUAGAUAUCUGGAGGAACACCGGUGGCGAAGGCGGCAUUCUGGACCGAUAUUGACGCUGAGGAGCGAAAGCCAGGGGAGACGAACGGG